CCUACGGGUGGCAGCAGUGAGGAAUAUUGGUCAAUGGACGAGAGUCUGAACCAGCCAAGUAGCGUGAAGGAUGACUGCCCUAUGGGUUGUAAACUUCUUUUAUAUGGGAACAAAAUGCUCCACGCGUGGGAUUUUGUAUGUACCAUAUGAAUAAGGAUCGGCUAACUCCGUGCCAGCAGCCGCGGUAAUACGGAGGAUCCGAGCGUUAUCCGGAUUUAUUGGGUUUAAAGGGAGCGUAGGUGGAUUGUUAAGUCAGUUGUGAAAGUUUGCGGCUCAACCGUAAAAUUGCUGUUGAAACUGGCGUUCUUGAGUAGAGUAGAGGUGGGCGGAAUGCGUGGUGUAGCGGUGAAAUGCUUAGAUAUCACGAAGAACUCCGAUUGCGAAGGCAGCUCACUGGACUGCAACUGACACUGAGGCUCGAAAGUGUGGGUAUCGAACAGGAUUAGAUACCCGAGUAGUC
rnacentral:rRNA from 1 species